rnacentral:ncRNA from 1 species
GUAUAAACUAUGAUGAGAAGAGUAAAUUUAGGACUAAGUUUCAGCGAGUAAACGAUGGUGAGAGGUUUACACAAAGCCUAUGUUGAAAAACAUCUCUGAGUUUCUAACCGAACCUUAUAAUUUAUAACAAGUAGGCUUAGACGGGUUCAUACCGUUAAUUUAUGAACAGCAUUUUGUGCUUACGAGUUGGUCAUUUAUAAUGACAAUUUGGGUGGUACCGCGAAAUUAUACCUUUCGUCCCAUUA